rnacentral:tRNA from 2 species
CGCGGGGUGGAGCAGCCUGGUAGGUCGUCGGGCUCAUAACCCGAAGGUCGUCGGUUCAAAUCCGGCCCCCGCAACCA